AGUGUCUGUCGGGUGCACGGGGACAAACCUGAUCCACAGAGGUCAUGGAAGUGACUAAGUAUGAGCCAUGAAGGCUGAUCAGGACGACAGGACGACAGACGAGUAGCGUGCAGACGCUCACUAGGAGCAUAGCAAGAGAGAAGACAUUAGAUAGGAAAGACGGUAGCAGCAUCGUUACGUAUUGUUUUUCAGGAAAGUGAAUAAAAGUGGGGAUGGCUUACACAGGGGGAAAGACAACCUCGACUGUUCCCGCUGCUUCCUCAUCACCUCUGUAAGAGUAGAAGUAUGUGUGUGUUUUAUGGAGAGAUCACGAACGAAACAGGGAACAGUUCGUCGUAUCCUUUCCAUCUCCCACCGCCUCAAACACCAGCCGGGGAUUUUAUCGCACGGGCUUGGCUCGGCCGGCGGGAUUCCUGAAAUAGAUAUCUGGGAGCACCGACUGGGCAGAUAUAUGAAAACGCUGGCGAUGGGCGUGAGAUGCUGAGACGUGGCUGUAAAUCUGGAAAAGGAGUCGUCUUUAAACGGACUCUCGUCCUUCUGGGUUGUGUCUCUCCUUCAUGUUUUCCUGUGACGGCUGUAAAUCUAUUAUUGGGGCGUAUUCAUAGCUCUGGAGAAUGUAAGUCCCGCGCAUCGACAACAAGCUGACGGGCUCAGCUCGCCGCACAAUAAAGCCCCCGUGUUUUCAUCGGGCCCCGCGGUGCGACACUAAGUGGUGUCACUCACCAACACUCUGUCCGUUUAACAAUGUCACAGUAUCAGCUACAGCAUCACACUGGAGUUAUUUAAUACGGCCACUGUGGUGACGCUGUGUCACCUCUUUGUGCGCUUUGCAUUGUGAUAGCUCGUCUCUUCCGCCUCCUCCUCCUCCUCCUCGUUCCUGUCCUGACAGCAUCGCACCUCGCAGGCUGCUGCAGCUGUCACCUGCCUGAUGGCUCUUUAAAAUCACUCACUGAUUGAAGAGAAACACCUGGAACCGACGACAGCAAAGGUACCAAAAAUAACUCUCCGCACCAGCAGGUGGCAGUAGUCUGCAUUCAUCGUUAAAACCAGGAAACAGGAAGAGCUGCUAUCAGCUGAUACAUAUCCGGCUAAUGUAUUACUGGAGUGAGGGAG